UUUAGUUGCCAAAUUAUUGGUAUUCACUAUGCACUAUACCACUCCAAAAGUAUAUUUCUUUCCCUCUACAUGCCACUCCAUUGCCGUGAAUAAUUGUGGGAUCAAUGAAACGAUUAUUUAGUUCCUAAAAACAAGCACACGUUGGCUACAUAUUCCAACUUCCAAGUCUCUCACAAUCAGUUGUCUUCUCACUAAUUGACUACACGAGCCACUCUUCUUUAGCAUUUUAUCUUUCACGUAGACAAACCUUCAUUUUCCAAAUCUCAAACAUUCCAUUAUUACUUUUAAUCCUCGUCCACUCAAAUUUAGUUCUUCUAAUAGAUGAUCAUGAUUUUCCCUCCUUAGUUUCUUAACAUCACAAAGUCUCCCAUCUAUAUGACCUCACGCAAAUCAUCCCAUAUCACAAUGCUCUCUUAUUAUUUCCCAGUCUUUGAGCAUACAUCUCCAACGUUCCAUUGAUUCAUAUGUUGUAUACAAAUAUUUUUCAAGUUUAUCAAUCAAUUCCUACAGUCUAUCCCCUCACAAUAUUCAUCAUGUUCCCAAUAUAUGGUUAUUCGUUUUCAACGGUGUAAUCUUCAAAACAAAGUCUAGAGCGAGAUAAAUCAUGCAUGCAUUGAACCUGCGAAUUUAGAGAACCUUAUAGUUCUUUGAUUGGGAGGAAAGCGUACAAGGUACCAUAGAUGAAAUAUGAAGCUUGAUGUGUGAUGAAACGUUUACGGGGCAAAUUAGGUUUUAAAAUGAAGAAGAAAACUACUUUUUAUUUAGUUGUAAUUGUAAUUUAAAUAUUUUUAAAAUAUACUAUAGAGUUUAUAUUUAUUCCAUUAAGAAUUAG
rnacentral:lncRNA from 1 species